CUGGAAGACACACUGGAAGGAGGGAAAGGCUGGAGAAGAAGAUGCAGAGCACAGUGUGAAGGGAGAACUGGAACAGAUUCCAGGCACUGAGAUCAAAAUGGAGUGGUGACCUGACUGAGAGUGAGAGGGAGCGGAGGCUUGUUUCUGCAGCCUCUCUGUGGAUCACAUCCAGGUCUCUGGCUGAAACCAACUAUCCACCAUCUGGACCUUGGACCAAGUCCUCUCUGUCUCCAGUCGUACUCAUCAACGAGACGUAUUCACAAUCAUCACGUCAAGUCUGCAAGCGUGUGAGACCACAAGGCAAAAUAUGAGCUGCUUGUAAACAAGGGACUACAAUACUUAAAUGUAUUUUACUACCUCUGUAGCCUAUAUGCCUACAUAAUUAUGUAUCUUGAUGCACUGAAUAUUACUUCUGGCCUACCUGAUUCCGUAGUAAUGUUUUAAUUAAGUCUUUGUAUUAAGUUCUUCUAUGCCAUGUGAAUGUUCCCCCCAUGUCUUCUAGUCUGAAAGA